rnacentral:rRNA from 1 species
AGCGAACGCUGGCGGCAGGCCUAACACAUGCAAGUCGAACGAAGUCUUCGGACUUAGUGGCGGACGGGUGAGUAACACGUGGGAACGUACCUUUUGGUUCGGAACAACUCAGGGAAACUUGAGCUAAUACCGGAUGAGCCCUUCGGGGGAAAGAUUUAUCGUCAUUAGAGCGGCCCGCGUUAGAUUAGCUAGUUGGUGAGGUAAAGGCUCACCAAGGCUACGAUCUAUAGCUGGUCUGAGAGGAUGAUCAGCCACACUGGGACUGAGACACGGCCCAGACUCCUACGGGAGGCAGCAGUGGGGAAUCUUGCGCAAUGGGCGAAGGCCUGACGCAGCCAUGCCGCGUGAAUGAUGAAGGUCUUAGGAUUGUAAAAUUCUUUUACCAGGGACGAUAAUGACGGUACCUGGAGAAAAAGCCCCGGCUAACUUCGUGCCAGCCGCCGCCGUAACAC